UUCACCGUGGUCUCCGAUUCAGUUGAUGCAAGGCAGGAACCUAAUUUUCGCCAAAACAACAACAUCAAUUAUACGUAUACCGUACACAUUUGUAUAUAUACUGUUGGAAUCAUGCCAGACGACGUGGAAACCACGCCGUAAAGGCGAACAAAGUUCCCGACCUGCACCAAGCGAAUCUGAGACGACUGCAACA
rnacentral:pre_miRNA from 1 species